GGGGGGGGGGGGGGGGGGGCUUGGGGGGUGCGGGGCGGACGGGGAGGCCCUGCUUGUGUGGGGUGCUCGAGUGGCGAACGGGUGAGUAACGCGUGAGUAACCUGCCCUUGCCUUUUGGAUAACUUCAGGAAACUGGGGCUAAUACCGGAUAGGCGCUCCUGCUGCAUGGUGGGGGUUGGAAAGUUUCGGCGGUUGGGGAUGGACUCGCGGCUUAUCAGCUUGUUGGUGGAGUAGGGGCUUACCAAGGAGUUGACGGGUAGCCGGCCUGAGAGGGUGACCGGCCACAUUGGGACUGAGAUACGGCCCAGACUCCUACGGGAGGCAGCAGUGGGGAAUAUUGCACAAUGGGCGGAAGCCUGAUGCAGCAACGCCGCGUGCGGGAUGACGGCCUUCGGGUUGUAAACCGCUUUCGCCUGUGACGAAGCGUGAGUGACGGUAAUGGGUAAAGAAGCACCGGCUAACUACGUG
rnacentral:rRNA from 1 species